ACUCCUACGGGAGGCAGCAGUGGGGAAUAUUGCACAAUGGGGGAAACCCUGAUGCAGCCAUGCCGCGUGUGUGAAGAAGGCCUUCGGUUGUAAAGCACUUUCAGUAGGGAGGAAGGUAGUGUAGUUAACACCUGCAUUAUUUUGACGUUACCUACAGAAGAAGCACCGGCUAACUCCGUGCCAGCAGCCGCGGUAAUACGGAGGGUGCGAGCGUUAAUCGGAAUUACUGGGCGUAAAGCGCAUGCAGGCGGCCUGUUAAGUCAGAUGUGAAAGCCCGGGGCUUAACCUCGGAAUUGCAUUUGAAACUGGCAGGCUAGAGUCUUGUAGAGGGGGGUAGGAAUUUCAGGUGUAGCGGUGAAAUGCGUAGAGAUCUG
rnacentral:rRNA from 1 species